GUUGAUUGGACCUGCAGUAUAUGACAUAAGGCCUGUCCGACUGCCCCAGACAGGCUAGGUUUCUGACGGAUGAUCUAAAUUUACAGCUAGCCAGCCCGAUGGUAAGAUCAAAUAGUUUUAGAU